rnacentral:rRNA from 1 species
CAGUAGCCGCGGUAAAACGUAGGGUGCAAGCGUUAAUCGGAAUUACUGGGCGUAAAGCGUGCGCAGGCGGUUAUAUAAGACAGAUGUGAAAUCCCCGGGCUCAACCUGGGAACUGCAUUUGUGACUGUAUAGCUAGAGUACGGCAGAGGGGGAUGGAAUUCCGCGUGUAGCAGUGAAAUGCGUAGAUAUGCGGAGGAACACCGAUGGCGAAGGCAAUCCCCUGGGCCUGUACUGACGCUCAUGCACGAAAGCGUGGGGAGCAAACAGGAUUAGAUACCCCUGUAGUCCCUGUCUCUUAUAC